rnacentral:rRNA from 1 species
AUUGAACGCUGGCGGCAGGCCUAACACAUGCAAGUCGAGCGGAUGAAGGGAGCUUGCUCCUGGAUUCAGCGGCGGACGGGUGAGUAAUGCCUAGGAAUCUGCCUGGUAGUGGGGGAUAACGUCCGGAAACGGGCGCUAAUACCGCAUACGUCCUGAGGGAGAAAGUGGGGGAUCUUCGGACCUCACGCUAUCAGAUGAGCCUAGGUCGGAUUAGCUAGUUGGUGGGGUAAAGGCCUACCAAGGCGACGAUCCGUAACUGGUCUGAGAGGAUGAUCAGUCACACGAAAAGAGAGACGGGGCAGAGACCCACGGGGGGGACAAGUGGGGGAAAUUGGAGAAAAGGGGAAAACGUGUUACAGCCCCGCGCCGGGUGUGAAAAAAGGCUUUUGAUUUUAAAAAGCUUUUAAUUGGGGGGAAGGGGAGAAAAUUUAAAUCCUUUUGUUUUUAGACUUUCCACAGAAAAAAACCCCCGGAACUCUGC